rnacentral:rRNA from 1 species
UGCGUAGGCGGAAUAUUAAGUCAGUGGUGAAAUCCUGCGGCUCAACCGUAGAACUGCCAUUGAUACUGAUAUUCUUGAAUGUAGUUGAGGUAGGCGGAAUGUGUAAUGUAGCGGUGAAAUGCUUAGAUAUUACACAGAACACCGAUUGCGAAGGCAGCUUACUAAACCAUUAUUGACGCUGAGGCACGAAAGCGUGGGGAGCGAACAGGAUUAGAUACCCUGGUAGUCC